rnacentral:tRNA from 1 species
GCCGAGGUGGCGGAAUUGGAAGACGCGCAGGACUCAGGAUCCUGUGGGGUUCACCCCCGUGCGGGUUCAAGUCCCGCCCUCGGCACCA